AUUGAACGCUGGCGGCAUGCCUUACACAUGCAAGUCGAACGGCAGCACGGGAGCUUGCUCCUGGUGGCGAGUGGCGAACGGGUGAGUAAUACAUCGGAACGUACCCUGAAGUGGGGGAUAACGUAGCGAAAGUUACGCUAAAUACCGCAUAUUCUGUGAGCAGGAAAGAGGGGGAUCGCAAGACCUCUUGCUUUAGGAGCGGCCGAUGUCGGAUUAGCUAGUUGGUGAGGUAAAGGCUCACCAAGGCGACGAUCCGUAGCGGGUCUGAGAGGAUGAUCCGCCACACUGGGACUGAGACACGGCCCAGACUCCUACGGAGGCAGCAGUGGGGAAUUUUGGACAAUGGGCGCAAGCCUGAUCCAGCCAUGCCGCGUGAGUGAAGAAGGCC
rnacentral:rRNA from 1 species